rnacentral:rRNA from 1 species
UACAGGCUUAACACAUGCAAGUCGAGGGGCAGCAUGGUCUUAGCUUGCUAAGGCCGAUGGCGACCGGCGCACGGGUGAGUAACACGUAUCCAACCUGCCGUCUACUCUUGGACAGCCUUCUGAAAGGAAGAUUAAUACAAGAUGGCAUCAUGAGUCCGCAUGUUCACAUGAUUAAAGGUAUUCCGGUAGACGAUGGGGAUGCGUUCCAUUAGAUAGUAGGCGGGGUAACGGCCCACCUAGUCUUCGAUGGAUAGGGGUUCUGAGAGGAAGGUCCCCCACAUUGGAACUGAGACACGGUCCAAACUCCUACGGGAGGCAGCAGUGAGGAAUAUUGGUCAAUGGGCGAGAGCCUGAACCAGCCAAGUAGCGUGAAGGAUGACUGCCCUAUGGGUUGUAAACUUCUUUUAUAAAGGAAUAAAGUCGGGUAUGCAUACCCGUUUGCAUGUACUUUAUGAAUAAGGAUCGGCUAACUCCGUGCCAGCAGCCGCGGUAAUACGGAGGAUCCGAGCGUUAUCCGGAUUUAUUGGGUUUAAAGGGAGCGUAGAUGGAUGUUUAAGUCAGUUGUGAAAGUUUGCGGCUCAACCGUAAAAUUGCAGUUGAUACUGGAUAUCUUGAGUGCAGUUGAGGCAGGCGGAAUUCGUGGUGUAGCGGUGAAAUGCUUAGAUAUCACGAAGAACUCCGAUUGCGAAGGCAGCCUGCUAAGCUGCAACUGACAUUGAGGCUCGAAAGUGUGGGUAUCAAACAGGAUUAGAUACCCUGGUAGUCCACACGGUAAACGAUGAAUACUCGCUGUUUGCGAUAUACGGCAAGCGGCCAAGCGAAAGCGUUAAGUAUUCCACCUGGGGAGUACGCCGGCAACGGUGAAACUCAAAGGAAUUGACGGGGGCCCGCACAAGCGGAGGAACAUGUGGUUUAAUUCGAUGAUACGCGAGGAACCUUACCCGGGCUUAAAUUGCAGAUGAAUUACGGUGAAAGCCGUAAGCCGCAAGGCAUCUGUGAAGGUGCUGCAUGGUUGUCGUCAGCUCGUGCCGUGAGGUGUCGGCUUAAGUGCCAUAACGAGCGCAACCCUUGUUGUCAGUUACUAACAGGUUCCGCUGAGGACUCUGACAAGACUGCCAUCGUAAGAUGUGAGGAAGGUGGGGAUGACGUCAAAUCAGCACGGCCCUUACGUCCGGGGCUACACACGUGUUACAAUGGGGGGUACAGAGGGCCGCUACCACGCGAGUGGAUGCCAAUCCCCAAAACCUCUCUCAGUUCGGACUGGAGUCUGCAACCCGACUCCACGAAGCUGGAUUCGCUAGUAAUCGCGCAUCAGCCACGGCGCGGUGAAUACGUUCCCGGGCCUUGUACACACCGCCCGUCAAGCCAUGGGAGCCGGGGGUACCUGAAGUGCGUAACCGCGAGGAGCGCCCUAGGGUAAAACUGGUGACUGGGGCU